rnacentral:rRNA from 1 species
UACAGAGGGGGCAAGCGUUAUUCGGAAUUAUUGGGCGUAAAGGGCGCGUAGGCGGCUUUGCAAGUGACGGGUGAAAUCCCUCGGCUUAACCGAGGAACUGCCUGUGAGACUGCAUGGCUUGAGACCGGGAGAGGUGAGUGGAAUUCCCAGUGUAGCGGUGAAAUGCGUAGAUAUUGGGAGGAACACCAGUGGCGAAGGCGGCUCACUGGACCGGUACUGACGCUGAGGCGCGAAAGCGUGGGGAGCAAACAGG